rnacentral:rRNA from 1 species
AGUGAACGCUGGCGGUAGGCCUAACACAUGCAAGUCGAACGGCAGCACAGUAAGAGCUUGCUCUUACGGGUGGCGAGUGGCGGACGGGUCAGGAAUACAUCGGAAUCUACUUUUUCGUGGGGGAUAACGUAGGGACACUUACGCUAAUACCGCAUACGACCUACGGGUGAAAGCAGGGGAUCUUCGGACCUUGCGCGAUUGAAUGAGCCGAUGUCGGAUUAGCUAGUUGGCGGGGUAAAGGCCCACCAAGGCGACGAUCCGUAGCUGGUCUGAGAGGAUGAUCAGCCACACUGGAACUGAGACACGGUCCAGACUCCUACGGGAGGCAGCAGUGGGGAAUAUUGGACAAUGGGCGCAAGCCUGAUCCAGCCAUACCGCGUGGGUGAAGAAGGCCUUCGGGUUGUAAAGCCCUUUUGUUGGGAAAGAAAAGCAGCAGGUUAAUACCCCGCUGUUCUGACGGUACCCAAAGAAUAAGCACCGGCUAACUUCGUG